rnacentral:rRNA from 1 species
AGGAUCAUUUGCAAUGGGCGAAAGCCUGACAAUGCGACGCUGCGUGCAGGAUGAAGGCCUUCGGGUUGUAAACUGCUGUUAGGAGGGAAAAGGACGCGGCCCCGAACAAGGGCUGCCGUUUGAUUGUACCUCCAGAGAAAUUCGCGGCUAACUCUGUGCCAGCAGCCGCGGUAAUACAGAGGCGACAAGCGUUGUUCGGAUUUACUGGGCGUAAAGCGUGCGCAGGCGGCGGGACAUGUCCAAUGUGAAAUCCCGGGGCCCAGCCCCGGAAGUGCAUUGGAAACCGUCCCGCUGGAGGCUGGGAAGGGAGUCUGGAACACACGGUGUAGCGGUGAAAUGCGUUGAUAUCGUGUGGAACACCGGAAGCGAAGGCGAGACUCUGGAACGGCACUGACGCUCAUGCACGAAAGCGUGGGGAGCAAACA